UACGGAAGGUGCAAGCGUUGUUCGGAAUGACUGGGCGUAAAGAGCACGUAGGCGGUUUUGUAAGUCGAUUGUGAAAGCCCCGGGCUUAACCCGGGAACAGCAGUCGAAACUAUAAAUCUUGAAUGCCCCAGAGGUUGGUGGAAUUCCAGGUGUAGGAGUGAAAUCCGUAGAUAUCUGGAGGAACAUCGGAGGCGAAGGCGGCCGACUGGGGGUGCAUUGACGCUGAGGUGCGAAAGCGUGGGUAGCAAACAGG
rnacentral:rRNA from 1 species